UUAUUGAAACAGGGGUGCUCCACGCGUUGUGGGGCUGAGAAAUACCCUCGAACCCGAUCCGGAUAAUACCGGCGUGGGAAGCUUUCUCCGACCGAGC
rnacentral:ncRNA from 1 species